GGGUUGUGAGGUUAAGCGACUAAGCGUACACGGUGGAUGCCCUGGCAGUCAGAGGCGAUGAAGGACGUGCUAAUCUGCGAUAAGCGUCGGUAAGGUGAUAUGAACCGUUAUAACCGGCGAUUUCCGAAUGGGGAAACCCAGUGUGAUUCGUCACACUAUCAUUAACUGAAUCCAUAGGUUAAUGAGGCGAACCGGGGGAACUGAAACAUCUAAGUACCCCGAGGAAAAGAAAUCAACCGAGAUUCCCCCAGUAGCGGCGAGCGAACGGGGAGCAGCCCAGAGCCUGAAUCAGUGUGUGUGUUAGUGGAAGCGUCUGGAAAGGCGCGCGAUACAGGGUGACAGCCCCGUACACAAAAAUGCACAUGCUGUGAGCUCGAUGAGUAGGGCGGGACACGUGGUAUCCUGUCUGAAUAUGGGGGGACCAUCCUCCAAGGCUAAAUACUCCUGACUGACCGAUAGUGAACCAGUACCGUGAGGGAAAGGCGAAAAGAACCCCGGCGAGGGGAGUGAAAAAGAACCUGAAACCGUGUACGUACAAGCAGUGGGAGCCUCUUUAUGGGGUGACUGCGUACCUUUUGUAUAAUGGGUCAGCGACUUAUAUUCUGUAGCAAGGUUAACCGAAUAGGGGAGCCGAAGGGAAACCGAGUCUUAACUGGGCGUUAAGUUGCAGGGUAUAGACCCGAAACCCGGUGAUCUAGCCAUGGGCAGGUUGAAGGUUGGGUAACACUAACUGGAGGACCGAACCGACUAAUGUUGAAAAAUUAGCGGAUGACUUGUGGCUGGGGGUGAAAGGCCAAUCAAACCGGGAGAUAGCUGGUUCUCCCCGAAAGCUAUUUAGGUAGCGCCUCGUGAACUCAUCUCCGGGGGUAGAGCACUGUUUCGGCAAGGGGGUCAUCCCGACUUACCAACCCGAUGCAAACUGCGAAUACCGGAGAAUGUUAUCACGGGAGACACACGGCGGGUGCUAACGUCCGUCGUGAAGAGGGAAACAACCCAGACCGCCAGCUAAGGUCCCAAAGUCAUGGUUAAGUGGGAAACGAUGUGGGAAGGCCCAGACAGCCAGGAUGUUGGCUUAGAAGCAGCCAUCAUUUAAAGAAAGCGUAAUAGCUCACUGGUCGAGUCGGCCUGCGCGGAAGAUGUAACGGGGCUAAACCAUGCACCGAAGCUGCGGCAGCGACGCUUAUGCGUUGUUGGGUAGGGGAGCGUUCUGUAAGCCUGUGAAGGUGUGCUGUGAGGCAUGCUGGAGGUAUCAGAAGUGCGAAUGCUGACAUAAGUAACGAUAAAGCGGGUGAAAAGCCCGCUCGCCGGAAGACCAAGGGUUCCUGUCCAACGUUAAUCGGGGCAGGGUGAGUCGACCCCUAAGGCGAGGCCGAAAGGCGUAGUCGAUGGGAAACAGGUUAAUAUUCCUGUACUUGGUGUUACUGCGAAGGGGGGACGGAGAAGGCUAUGUUGGCCGGGCGACGGUUGUCCCGGUUUAAGCGUGUAGGCUGGUUUUCCAGGCAAAUCCGGAAAAUCAAGGCUGAGGCGUGAUGACGAGGCACUACGGUGCUGAAGCAACAAAUGCCCUGCUUCCAGGAAAAGCCUCUAAGCAUCAGGUAACAUCAAAUCGUACCCCAAACCGACACAGGUGGUCAGGUAGAGAAUACCAAGGCGCUUGAGAGAACUCGGGUGAAGGAACUAGGCAAAAUGGUGCCGUAACUUCGGGAGAAGGCACGCUGAUAUGUAGGUGAAGUCCCUCGCGGAUGGAGCUGAAAUCAGUCGAAGAUACCAGCUGGCUGCAACUGUUUAUUAAAAACACAGCACUGUGCAAACACGAAAGUGGACGUAUACGGUGUGACGCCUGCCCGGUGCCGGAAGGUUAAUUGAUGGGGUCAGCGCAAGCGAAGCUCUUGAUCGAAGCCCCGGUAAACGGCGGCCGUAACUAUAACGGUCCUAAGGUAGCGAAAUUCCUUGUCGGGUAAGUUCCGACCUGCACGAAUGGCGUAAUGAUGGCCAGGCUGUCUCCACCCGAGACUCAGUGAAAUUGAACUCGCUGUGAAGAUGCAGUGUACCCGCGGCAAGACGGAAAGACCCCGUGAACCUUUACUAUAGCUUGACACUGAACAUUGAGCCUUGAUGUGUAGGAUAGGUGGGAGGCUUAGAAGUGUGGACGCCAGUCUGCAUGGAGCCGACCUUGAAAUACCACCCUUUAAUGUUUGAUGUUCUAACGUUGACCCGUAAUCCGGGUUGCGGACAGUGUCUGGUGGGUAGUUUGACUGGGGCGGUCUCCUCCUAAAGAGUAACGGAGGAGCACGAAGGUUGGCUAAUCCUGGUCGGACAUCAGGAGGUUAGUGCAAUGGCAUAAGCCAGCUUGACUGCGAGCGUGACGGCGCGAGCAGGUGCGAAAGCAGGUCAUAGUGAUCCGGUGGUUCUGAAUGGAAGGGCCAUCGCUCAACGGAUAAAAGGUACUCCGGGGAUAACAGGCUGAUACCGCCCAAGAGUUCAUAUCGACGGCGGUGUUUGGCACCUCGAUGUCGGCUCAUCACAUCCUGGGGCUGAAGUAGGUCCCAAGGGUAUGGCUGUUCGCCAUUUAAAGUGGUACGCGAGCUGGGUUUAGAACGUCGUGAGACAGUUCGGUCCCUAUCUGCCGUGGGCGCUGGAGAACUGAGGGGGGCUGCUCCUAGUACGAGAGGACCGGAGUGGACGCAUCACUGGUGUUCGGGUUGUCAUGCCAAUGGCACUGCCCGGUAGCUAAAUGCGGAAGAGAUAAGUGCUGAAAGCAUCUAAGCACGAAACUUGCCCCGAGAUGAGUUCUCCCUGACUCCUUGAGAGUCCUGAAGGAACGUUGAAGACGACGACGUUGAUAGGCCGGGUGUGUAAGCGCAGCGAUGCGUUGAGCUAACCGGUACUAAUGAACCGUGAGGCUUAACCUUACAACGCCGAAGCUGUU
rnacentral:rRNA from 1 species